rnacentral:rRNA from 1 species
GACGAGGGGUCCUAGCGUUGUUCGGAAUCACUGGGCGUAAAGCGUAUGUAGGCGGCCUUUUAAGUCGAUUGUGAAAUCCCAUGGCUUAACCAUGGAAUUGCAUUCGAAACUGAAGGGCUUGAGUGUGGGAGAGAUUGGUAGAAUACCUGGUGUAGUGGUGAAAUACGUAGAUAUCAGGUGGAAUACCGGUGGCGAAGGCGGCCAAUUGGCCCAACACUGACGCUGAGAUACGAAAGCGUGGGGAUCAAACAGG